rnacentral:rRNA from 1 species
CCUCCCACCCGUGUUUAUUUUACCUUGUUGCUUCGGCGGGCCCGCCUUAACUGGCCGCCGGGGGGCUUACGCCCCCGGGCCCGCGCCCGCCGAAGACACCCUCGAACUCUGUCUGAAGAUUGUAGUCUGAGUGAAAAUAUAAAUUAUUUAAAACUUUCAACAACGGAUCUCUUGGUUCCGGCAUCGAUGAAGAACGCAGCGAAAUGCGAUACGUAAUGUGAAUUGCAAAUUCAGUGAAUCAUCGAGUCUUUGAACGCACAUUGCGCCCCCUGGUAUUCCGGGGGGCAUGCCUGUCCGAGCGUCAUUGCUGCCCUCAAGCACGGCUUGUGUGUUGGGCCCCGUCCUCCGAUCCCGGGGGACGGGCCCGAAAGGCAGCGGCGGCACCGCGUCCGGUCCUCGAGCGUAUGGGGCUUUGUCACCCGCUCUGUAGGCCCGGCCGGCGCUUGCCGAUCAACCCAAAUUUUUAUCCAGGUUGACCUCGGAUCAGGUAGGGAUACCCGCUGAACUUAAGCAUAUCAAUAAGCGGAGGA